GGCUGCCGGGAGGGGCUCAUUGUUCUGCCGGCCGCUUUGACUUCAUUUUCUGCUUUUCAUCCCAGGCCGGGACGGUUUAGAAUGCAAAUGCGGGCUGCUUUUGUAGCUGUGCGUUUGUCUGGGAGCCGUGCGUUUGUCUGGGGUGAGAUCACAGCAAAAGGGUUUUGUUUGGCUUUUUAAAUUCUUCUGGGGAGAGCAAAAGAAGCUGGAGGAGCGCUGGGCGCAGAAGACCUCCCGGGCGGGAAGGCGGGGCAGGCAUGGGCCCAAUGGGAGCAGCCGUCGGCUUCUGCAGGCCUGGUUUGGAAAGGAACCGGGUCAGAAGGGUGUUGUUGAACAUUAACUCCUUGUGGCCUGGCGGAUGGGGAGUUGGGGGUUUCCAAGCUGCUCACCCCAGAACAUGCAGUCCACUAAUACUGUAUUUCGUGCUUCCUUUGUGCCACACCCUGGGGACAUUUCCAAAGAGAAAGGUGACGUCCAGCCCUUUCACGUGACUGCAUCUAAGUGUCCUCUGCCAGAAGUGGAUAUUCGGGCACUUCAUCCUCACGACCCUGUGUUACCCAAGUGACCACCUGGUAAUUACUUCAACAGCAGAGCGACUCAUACAGCCGGCAGUCCACUUUGUUCUUCUAUAGAUCCUGCCUGUGGUGUUGGAUCUAACAGCUUCUUCCCUGACCCAAGAUUAUGAAGGAUUUCUCCUGUGUUCUCUUCUAAAAAUUUUACAUUUAGGUACAUAAUCCAUUUUGAGCUAAUUCUUUUAAAUAGUGCAAAGUAUGGAUUGAAGUUCUUUUUUUUUUUUUUUUUUGCAGAUACAUAUUUAAUUUUUCCAGCACCAUUUGUUGAAAAGACUAAUGUUCUUGCCUGAAUAGCCUUUGCAUUGUUGUUGAAAAUCAUGUUCACACAUGUACACAUUCCACUGAUCUAUUUGCCUCUUUGUGAAAAUACUACUAUUUUGAUUAAUAUAUAUUUAUAGGGAGUCUUAAAA
rnacentral:lncRNA from 1 species